rnacentral:rRNA from 1 species
AUUGAACGCUGGCGGCAGGCCUAACACAUGCAAGUCGAACGUGUGGCGGACGGGUGAGUAAUGUCUGGGAAACUGCCUGAUGGAGGGGGAUAACUACUGGAAACGGUAGCUAAUACCGCAUACCAUCAGAUGUGACCAGAUGGGAUUAGCUAGUUGGUGGGGUAACGGCUCACCAAGGCGACGAUCCCUCGCUGGGCUGAGAGGAUGACAAGCCACACUGGUACUGAGACACGGUCCAGAGUGCUAAGGGAGGCAGCAGUGGGGAAUAUUGCACAGUGGGCUCAAGCAUGACGCAUCCAUGCCGCGUGUAUGCAGAAGGCCUUCGGGUUGUAAAGUACUGGCAGCGGGGAGGUGGUACCCGCAGAUGAAGUACCGGCUCACUCCGUGCUAGCAGCCGCGGUAAUAC